GACGUACGCUGGCGGCGUGCUUAACACAUGCAAGUCGAACGGAAAGGCCCUGCUUUUGUGGGGUGCUCGAGUGGCGAACGGGUGAGUAACACGUGAGUAACCUGCCCUUGACUUUGGGAUAACUUCAGGAAACUGGGGCUCAUACCGGAUAGGAGCUCCUGCUGCAUGGUGGGGGUUGGAAAGUUUCGGCGGUUGGGGAUGGACUCGCGGCUUAUCAGCUUGUUGGUGGGGUAGUGGCUUACCAAGGCUUUGACGGGUAGCCGGCCUGAGAGGGUGACCGGCCACAUUGGGACUGAGAUACGGCCCAGACUCCUACGGGAGGCAGCAGUGGGGACUAUUGCACCAUGGGCGGAAGACUGAUGCAGCAACGCCGCGUGCGGGAUGACGGCCUUCGGGUUGUAAACCGCUUUCGCCUGUGACGAAGCGUGCGUGACGGUAAUGGGUAAAGAAGCACCGGCUAACCACGUG
rnacentral:rRNA from 1 species